UAAAUUCCAAAUAAUUUGCAUUUAUUUACAGAAAAUGAGAAAUGUCUGAAAUAACAAAAAAGAUGCAGAGCUUUCAGACCUCAAAUAAUGCAAAGAAAACAAGUUCAUAUUCAUAAAGAUUUAGAAAUCAAUAUUUGGUGGAAUAACCCUGGUUGGGUUUUAAUCACAGUUUUUUUUCAUGCAUCUUGGCAUCAUGCUCUCCUCCUCCACCAGUCUUACACACUGCUUUUGGGUAACUUUAUGCUGCUUUACUCCUGGUGCAAAAAAUCAAGCAGUUCUUGAUUAUAUUCUAGUUUUUCAGUUUGGGAAAAACUAAGAAACUCAUCAUUUUUAAGUGCUCUCUUAUUAUUUUUUUUUUACCAGAGCUGUAUAUCUAUUUACACAUCUCUUUUUCCCUAUUGCCAAUAUUAUAUAACUAUAUCUUUUGGACUUUAAACUGCUAAAAUAUAAAAUGACAUAAAAUGUGACACAAACUCACACAGAGUCUAUCUACUCUUAUCAGUAUCUGAAUGUGUCUGGUGUUAUCUAACAAUUACAACAGUUCAAUAACCAGAUCAACAAUGUUUACUUCCUCAAGCAAAACGUGACUUAUUGUACAUGUUGGAUUAACCCUUGUUGGUAUUCAAAUAUUUCUUAGAUAUUUCUUGUAGUUGGUCAGCAGAUUUGUGCAUAUUUCAGGGGGGAUUUUGGCGUUACUCCUCUUUAUAGAAAACCUCCAAUUCUUGAACAUUUCGAGGAUGUUGCUUGGAAAGUUAAAGUUUGAGAUCCUUCCACAGAUUUUUCUAUGAAAUUAAGCUCAUUUGCUGCCUUGCCUGUAUGGUGUGGGUCAUUGUCAUGCUGAAAGACCAAUCCACAUUGUAUCUUCUUCAGUGUGCUGACUGAAACCAGGAGGUUUUUGUUUAAGAUUACACAUUAUAAGGACCUCAAUCAUCAGCUUCUCAAGCUGGUGAAGUCGUUCUGUAUCUUUAGCAUAGAAACAAUCCUAUAGCAGAAUGUUUCCACCUCCAUGUUCGAUAGUGAGGAUGGUGUUUUUGGGGUAAAAUCCAGUAUUUCUCAAAGAGCUUCAGAUGGUCUGUACAUGAGGUUUAGUCAGCAAAUUAAUUGCAGGAUGUCAAUUCGUUUUAUUGCAGAGAUUGGCAAAUAAGCUUGGCCAGAAGCCAGAUAUUUUCCAAGCCAUUACCUGGUGGCCACAAAAAAAAAUCUGUAAUGGGAUGGAGUUCUACAGAUUGAUUGCUCUCCAGCCCAGAGUGUUGAACCCAAUUGCAGAACAGUUGAUCUCAAAGCAGGUAAACCCAAGAAGAAAUUACUAAAAAAAUAAAUAAAUAAACACACAGCUCCUCACGCGAGAUUAAACUCGUGUCGUCAGGGUCACGCUCCAAUACACUACCACUGCCCCGGCUAGUAAAUUGUGACACGACCGGGAAAAAAAACGCCCUUAUAUGGAGAUAGGGAGCCUGAGAACGGGUGGAAAAAUGAGAACAAGCGAAAACUAAACUAAAGUCAUGCUGAGCAACAGAGAGAGAGACAGGGGAGGUAUGUAAACAAAAGCUCACCAGAGAAGCAUUUUAUGAAGUAUUAUUUUCAUUGCCAUUUAUUAUUAGUAUUAUUAGUUCAAACAUCCUCACGGGCCAGAUGUUUCAUGCUUGCGGCCUGUGGAACACCUAUUGCCGACCCCUGCAUUACGGUUAGGUGUGUUGCCAAUGGUUUUCUUUGUGACUGGUCUCCCAGCUACCUUUAGAUCAUUAACAACUGGUAUAAUUCUGGACUGAGCUUUUAAAUUAGAAUAGUAGUGCAUGAAAGCUUAUGGUUAAAUACAUUCAUUAGAAAGGGUGUUCAUAAGUAUUAGGACACAGGCUGUAGUGUAUAGCUACAGUAUAUCUCACAGUGUAAACAUGAUAAAAGUGUGAUGUUUUCUGUCUCACUUCAGUUUUAUUGUGUUUUUAUUGCAGUCAAAGGCCAACCAUCACGUUUACAGAUACAGGAAAUUCCUUAAAGUCACAAACACACACGUGUACACACACAUGUGCAUUGAUUAAAUGGGUUUUAAACAGGGUAUAAAAGCAUGUGCACUGCAGACCAGGUUAGAGAACUACUUUUUUACAGGUCCAGCGCAAAAAAAGGCCAAUCUGCUGUUGAAGCUGUUGAAAGCAAAAAUGAAAGACAGAGUGUUUCUGGCUCUACUGCUCCCCCUGCUAGCUGGGAGUAACCCAGUUUCUCAGGAUCCUCUUCCAACAGACUGCUCAGACAUCUACGCUAAUGAACAAAAAGUGAGCGGGGUGUACACCAUCUACCCUACAGGUGACACACC